UACGUAGGGGGCGAGCGUUGUCCGGAUUCAUUGGGCGUAAAGAGCUCGUAGGCGGUUCGGCAAGUCGGGUGUGAAAACUCCAGGCUCAACCUGGAGACGCACCCGAUACUGCUGUGACUCGAGUCCGGUAGGGGACCACGGAAUUCCUGGUGUAGCGGUGAAAUGCGCAGAUAUCAGGAGGAACACCGGUGGCGAAGGCGGUGGUCUGGGCCGGUACUGACGCUGGAGGAGCGAAAGCGUGGGGAGCGAACAGG
rnacentral:rRNA from 1 species